rnacentral:rRNA from 1 species
UACAGAGGUCCCGAGCGUUGUUCGGAUUCACUGGGCGUAAAGGGUGCGUAGGUGGCCUGAAAAGUUUGAUGUGAAAGCUCAGGGCUUAACCCUGAAAUGGCAUUGAAUACUGUCGGGCUGGAGGUUUGGAGGGGGGACUGGAAUUCUUGGUGUAGCGGUGGAAUGCGUAGAGAUCCGGAGGAAGACCGGUGGCGAAGGCGGUCUGCUGGGCAGUUUCUGACACUGAUGCGCGACAGCGUGGGGAGCAAACAGG